rnacentral:rRNA from 1 species
CAAAAACAUCGCCUCUUGAACCAUCAACAUAAGAGGUCCCGCCUGCCCAGUGACUAUAAGUUUAACGGCCGCGGUAUUUUGACCGUGCAAAGGUAGCGCAAUCACUUGUCUUUUAAAUGAAGACCUGUAUGAAUGGCAUCACGAGGGCUUGACUGUCUCCUUUCUCCUGUCAAUGAAAUUGAUCUCCCCGUGCAGAAGCGGGGAUAAUAACAUAAGACGAGAAGACCCUAUGGAGCUUUAGGCUCCAGAACAGACUAUGUAAAACACCCUUACACAAAAGGAAAAAACCUAUUAGACCCUGUUCUACAUGCCUUUGGUUGGGGCGACCGCGGGGAAACACACAACCCCCAUGUGGAUUAGGAGUACAACCCUCCCACAACCCAGAGUUACAACUCUAAGUAACAGAACAUCUGACCAACUAAUGAUCCGGCACAACCGAUCAACGAACCGAGUUACCCUAGGGAUAACAGCGCAAUCCCCUUUUAGAGUCCAUAUCGACAAGGGGGUUUACGACCUCGAUGUUGGAUCAGGACAUCCUAUUGGUGCAGCCGCUAUUAAGGGUUCGUUUGUUCAACGAUUAAAGUCCUACGUGAUCUGAGUU